UUUUGUUCCUGGAUUCUUCAGUGAUGAUGAGCAGAGUCUGAGUGAACCUGCUGUCAGACAGGUUGGCCUGAUUGACGAUGCCAUCGUCCAUCGCCGAUGGCUGAUAGACAUCACGAUGCUGCGCCGGAAACAGCGUCAUCAGCUCCAGUAUCUCGGCCGUGCAUCCGUUGUCAUGCAACAGAGAAGUCACGUUCUAUAGACAGUUUCUGACAGUUGUGAACGUGCUGACAGCUGGUUGCCCAGGCUAUGGAUUAAAGGUAAUACUGUUGGCCAGCAGAGCCCUGCUCACCCUGACGGCCCACCGCUGCUGUCAGACAACAUCUCCAAGAUGCUAUAAACUGCAGGACCAGAUCGCCAUCCCAAGGUUUCUAGAGAUUACAGCAGCUCCAGACUGAAUCCAAACUCACUUUUGAAGACUUCAGAUGACAACAACGCUCACAAAGACUACAGACGACAACUGUACAUGAACACACAAAACAUUGGACACACAAAACAAAUAUUAUCCUUAUUUUGCCUAUAAGGGUAAAUUAGAUGAUUUUCAAACUGCUUUAUUGUAACGUCUCUUAUAUCUGUAAAUGAACAAUAUUUACUCUC